UACGUAGGGGGCUAGCGUUGUCCGGAUUUAUUGGGCGUAAAGAGCGUGUAGGCGGCCAGGUAGGUCUGCUGUGAAAACUCGAGGCUUAACCUCGAGAUGUCGGCGGAAACCAUCUGGCUAGAGUCCGGAAGAGGAGAGUGGAAUUCCUGGUGUAGCGGUGAAAUGCGUAGAUAUCUGGAGGAACACCGGUGGCGAAGGCGGCAUCCUGGACCGGCAUUGACGCUGAGGCGCGAAAGCCAGGGGAGCAAACGGG
rnacentral:rRNA from 1 species